AUAGUACGUGGACGUAGACCCGAAACCGGGUGAUCUACCCCUGUCCAGGGUGAAGGUGCGGUAACACGCACUGGAGGCCCGAACCCACGCAUGUUGAAAAAUGCGGGGAUGAGGUGGGGGUAGCGGAGAAAUUCCAAUCGAACUCGGAGAUAGCUGGUUCUCCCCGAAAUAGCUUUAGGGCUAGCCUCGGAAAACAGAGUCGUGGAGGUAGAGCACUGAUUGGGUGCGGGGCCCGCAAGGGUUACCAAGCUCAGUCAAACUCCGAAUGCCAUAGACUUACUUCCGGGAGUCAGACAGUGAGUGCUAAGAUCCAUUGUCAAAAGGGAAACAGCCCAGACCAUCAGCUAAGGUCCCCAAGUGUGUGUUAAGUGGGAAAGGAUGUGGAGUUGCACAGACAACCAGGAUGUUGGCUUAGAAGCAGCCACCAUUGAAAGAGUGCGUAAUAGCUCACUGGUCGAGUGACUCUGCGCCGAAAAUGUAACGGGGCUAAACACACCACCGAAGCUAUGGCUUGAU
rnacentral:rRNA from 1 species